rfam:Ovis aries breed Texel chromosome 3, whole genome shotgun sequence.
UCCCUGGUGGUCUGAUGGUUAGGACUCUGAGCUCCCAAAGCAGAAGAUCUAGGUUUGAUCCCUGGUCAGGGAA